AUUCCAUGAAAACGAAGAGUAGUAUUUGCCAUUAACUUCCUUUUCUCUCUCAUGAAAGAUACACCUGAUAACUAUUUGAAUGGUUUGUCCUUUAUUAGAUGCAAUUACAAACAUAUCCAAGUGAAGACGCAAAACUGGACUCCAGAUGAGCUAAAGAUGGAAGGAGGUGGCCACUGUAUUGCACAAGGAUAAUAGAGAUGACAGCUAGAGCGCAUCAUUACUGAGUGGCACUAAGUUGAAGAGUGACAGGAUGAGCUGGACAGAUUACCUCCCUAAGAGGCUUGCGGUUCACUGACCUAAUAAAGAUCUUAUGCCAUCACUUGGCAAAGACAGAAAGAGCCUUUCCCCAUCUUAAGACACUCUUUCGUGUGAGUCAGAACAGCUUCCUGAAUCCAUCCCAUGAAAAUGCUGAUGGUACUGAAGGGAAUCUGGUCUAACGUAAUUAUGGGAUGGGGUGAGGUAGAGAGAAGGAGAGGCAGGGCCUGUUGGGAAGCCAAGUGCAUCUUGGACAGAAUAAUGAAGAAGCUAUUAGCCUUCAGUAGGUGGGUGGAGUGGCCGUAUUUCUUAUUGGAAUCUUCAUGGUUGAUCUGAAGAGGAGGUAGGACUGUCGAUCCUGUGGAUGCCUCGGCUAAGGAGACAAGAUGGUGGAGUAGAAGGACUUGAGCUCGCCU